AUUCUUUUUAGUUUACAAAAAUACCUACUUUGGAUGUAGGAGACACUUUUAUU
rnacentral:tRNA from 1 species